rnacentral:rRNA from 1 species
AUUGAACGCUGGCGGCAGGCCUAACACAUGCAAGUCGAACGGUAACAGGAAACAGCUUGCUGUUUCGCUGACGAGUGGCGGACGGGUGAGUAAUGUCUGGGAAACUGCCUGAUGGAGGGGGAUAACUACUGGAAACGGUAGCUAAUACCGCAUAACGUCGCAAGACCAAAGAGGGGGACCUUCGGGCCUCUUGCCAUCGGAUGUGCCCAGAUGGGAUUAGCUAGUAGGUGGGGUAACGGCUCACCUAGGCGACGAUCCCUAGCUGGUCUGAGAGGAUGACCAGCUACACUGGAACUGAGACACGGUCCAGACUCCUACGGGAGGCAGCAGUGGGGAAUAUUGCACAAAGGGCGCAAGCCUGAUGCAGCCAUGCCGCGUGUAUGAAGAAGGCCUUCGGGUUGUAAAGUACUUUCAGCGGGGAGGAAGGGAGUAAAGUUAAUACCUUUACUCAUUGACGUUACCCGCAGAAGAAGCACCGGCUAACUCCGUG